AUAGAAGAAUGGACCACCACCUACCUUUCCUUCUGGCCACCACAGCGAGCAGCGCCACCGCCACCACCAGCAAGCUCAGCAGGAGCACAGAGCCCCAGAUGAAGGGGAUGCUGAGGGACACGAAGGGACAGGUCAGGAGCUGAGCAGAAGGGAUAUUUAAUGAGCACAUACCCGCUGUGGGCACGGCUCAUGGUCCUGUGGGGAGCUGUCAGAAGGAUGUCCCCUCCCAAGUCCUCUCCGCCAGCAGCCAUCACCCUCAAGGACCCAGGGGCUGCAGGUGGGAGUGGGAAGGGCAGGUCUGACGUUGGCGAUGUGGGCUAGAUAACUCACCUGCCUGGGAUAGGCAACUCAUCUGUCUGGGCUAGAUAACUCACCUGCCUGGGAUAGGCACUCACCUGUCUGGGAUAGAUAACUCACCUGCUUGGGAUAGAUAACUCACCUGCCUGGGAUAGGCACUCACCUGUCUGGGAUAGAUAACUCACCUGCUUGGGAUAGAUAACUCACCUGCCUGGGCUAGAUAACUCACCUGCUUGGGAUAGAUAACUCACCUGCCUGGGCUAGAUAACUCACCUGCCUGGGCAUAGAUAACUCACCUGCCUGGGCAUAGAUAACUCACCUGCCGG